UACGUAGGGUGCAAGCGUUUGCCCCGGAUUUAUUGGGCGUAAAGGGCGCGUAGGCGGCUCUGCACGUCCGUUGUGAAAUCGCCCGGCUCAACUGGGCGGGGUCAGCGGAUACGGCAGAGCUUGAGCAAGCUAGGGGGCAAUGGAAUUCCCGGUGUAGUGGUGGAAUGCGUAGAUAUCGGGAGGAACACCAGUGGCGAAGG
rnacentral:rRNA from 1 species